rnacentral:lncRNA from 1 species
UCCCAUACCAUUGUUCUUAAUGAUUGUCAUUUCUGUCCCAGUUUCUUUUUAAAUGUUAUUUCUGUAGGCCUUCUGGCCAAAAAUGAUUAUAAAAUUUCAAUAAAGAAAUAAGUUUGUAAUAUCAUUGUGAAUGGUGUUAUUAUUUUUUGUGGACAUUUGAACAAUGGUGUGUAUAUGUUAUCACAACCUGUUAACGUAGUCUAUUCUACUGGCAAGCACCC